rnacentral:lncRNA from 1 species
UUGUGAUGUCUCAGGGGGCGGUGGGCCGGGUGACGCAACUGGGGGUGGGCCCGUGGGUCCCAGUACCUGGUCCAGGAGGCAGCGUCUCCCUCCCGUCCGGGAUAAGACACCCCCUCCGCGGGUCCCCUGUCCACUCUGGAGAGGCAGCCCCCACUUGGAGGGACCAGGACCCGAGCCCUGCCCAUCCCCGAAUCCUGGGAGCCCUGCGUGGGGAGUGUCGAGGGCCUGGGUCGGGGGGCAAACUAGUGUGGAGCCAACUUUAAUGGAGGACCUAGCAAGUGCCAGGCAGCAUUCUGAGCCCUGGAAUCCGGUGAUGAACAUGACAGACAAGAUUCCUGCCCCCAAGGAGCUGCACCUUAAUAAGUCCCGCAAUGAAGGAGACAGAACAUAAACAGAGGAAAAUACACAAGAUGCCAGCUUGUGAGAAGUGCUAGCAAAAAAAGACACAAGUAUGUCCAGAGAGUCUGAGGUGUAUACAGCUCAUUUCACCAAUGAAAAGGCACUGGCAACAUCUCCUAUGCAGAUUAGCCGCAGCCUCCGGUGCCGAUUUAGCAAAGCCAUGAUUGACCAGAUCCGAGGCUCGCUGCCCUGUGGAGCUGCUUCCUAAUUAUGUUACUUCAAGCACCCAUCCCCAGGGUGCAGGUUAAAGUUAACCAGCACACUAAUGUACAUCAAGCAGUGUAGGCGGAGGCGCAGUUCUGAAGACAGUCACCAAUACGCGGCAAAUACCUAUUGUGAGAUCCAUCACCUGCUGGAUGGGCCUGCUCCCUCUACCACUCCCCUCCCACCUGCGCCUGGGUUGGGGAACUGGCCCCUUGCUAACUAGUCUAAUCCCCUUCAGUUGGUCACAAGCCCUGUGGAGGUGGGAAGGAGACAGGACUGGGAAGGCAGUGAGGGAGGGCACGAUGUGACUUCAGGGACAGCAGGAGCCUGAGUCUGGAGUUUGGGCUGCCCUAAUUUGCUGUGUGACCUUGAAAGCCCCUUCCCCUUUUAAGAAUGGGCUCAUCUCUUUUCUAAAGAAGACAUUCCAUGGGAGAGGUGGUGCCAUGGGAGUGUCACCUGGGAGGCUGCAGGCCUGCCCUAGGGCCCAGUCAUUCUGGAGGAAGCCCUUGUGGGCUAGGAGACGGCAGGCUCCGCCUCUGACCUAUUGGUUUCCCUCUGUCUGCCACUGUCCAGAGAUCAGAAUCCUGGGUCCUCUGGCACGGGCAUCCACUCUCACCA